CACUAACCAUAGUAAACUUUGACAUAACACGGCGAGAUUGUGCAACACAGUACGGCGACCGGCAAGAAUAGGUUUGCAAAAUAGAAACAAAUCACUGAGCAACCCGAAGUAAACAGUUCGGUAAUUUGCAGGUUUUUGAAUGUGACUAUACCAACGGUUUUCAACCAUUUUGGGCUCACGGCUCUCCGGAUUUCGAAAACCAAAUUAUCGGCUCCUUUACGAGUGACGAUAAUGAUAAAAAAAAAAUUGUCCUG